GGGGAGAAAAAAAAAGAAGAAAGAAAAAUUCUUACCGAGGUGAAUUUAUUAGCACUAAGACAAACGCAGUUGUCGGAGUCAAAGCAAGAUUUUAAACCCCGUGCCAAUUCGUUGGAGGAACAGUAAAUUCAUCCGCACAUUUUUCAUAUUGCAAAGGGGCUCUAAGUCUGGACAAACGGUGCCCUGUAAAUCACUUCCCUCAUCCAGUCCCUUCCAGUGUCUGAUUGAACUAAUGGCAUUUAAAGGUAGGUGUUUCAAAAGAAAUGUUUCGUUUACAUGUUUCCCAAGACCGGUAUUAAUUCUUUCAUCACAUCUGUUCAACCUGCUUGCCAUUGCCAGCUUCUGAAAGAGACGGAAAACAUGGGGGAAAGAUGUAAUUUCUUAAUAAAACGUGCUGUACGCCUUCUCUUGGAAAGAUGGCUGCCUUUCAAAAACACAGUGAAUCCAUAUUUUGUCUUGAUUUUUCUCCAGCAGGCCUAAUUUACCACGUCAGUCACACGCUGCUCUACACUAGAAGCCUUCCAGGGAUUUUAAAUAAGGUUUUUUUUUGUGUGUUGUGGUUAAGAGCUUGUGUUGUUUUGAAUUCUUUGUCCGCCCAUUUAAAAAUUAAAUACCUUUCGGGUCAGGUCCUUGUGGGGAGGUGGAAGGCAAAGUCAUUUUAAAAUAAUAACUUUGAGAUGCACCAGCUUCACGGCCUAAGAGAGGACUAACCAGUUCUUACUGCGGCACAACUCCUGGUUCUGUCGCCAACUUCAAAGGCUCGGUGCACACAGUCCGGAGCCUGAAGGCAUCACUGAGGGUUAAGGCACUCUUCCCCUCCCCCUUUCCUUCCUGCAUUUUCCAUUCACUCAGUCCCAAUAAACAUUCCAAGAGGCUAGGAUGAGUUGGUGAGUGUUGGAGACUAGGAAUACAAUGUUUGCUUUCUUCUGUAAAUGAAUCUAAAAAUAAUCAUUUGGCUGUAUCUGUCCAGUGAGAGGAUGUCAGCUUUUCGCUUUACUACCGGUUUCAUUUACAUUAUAAAAAUGACAAGCAGUUUAUCAGAUAAUCCCCCGCUGCUUUCUAAACAAACAUUCCAGCCACGGAGUUCUUUCUGGAAUCCUCCCUCCCCCGCCCCGAAUGGCCUUGAAGUCUUGUCUGGGGUCUGGACGGGGCUGCCUCAGCCCGUCCUCCCCAUCAGUAAAAGAUGGUCCCGUGAACGCUCAAUUCUCCCUCUAUCCCCUACCCAUUUGUGUCUUUAAAGAAAAAGAAAAAGAAAAAUAUCCUCAUCUCCCAAAGAUCUUCUAUUUGCUACUAUUCCUGACAACUUUCAACAGUCUUAGGGAAAGAGAAAUGGGAUUGCAGGCUGCAUGGAGGACUGCAUUCCAGUUUUUCUUGGGACGUUGUUGCUUCAGCAUAUUAUCACAGAGUUUAAUGUUUGCUAUCAUGAGAGGGGCAUGUGUUCCCUUUAUCCAAAUGAGAGAAUACUGGAAGGCCUAGAAAAGACUAAGAGCCACUCGUAGCGUUUUGUUUGUUGUUGCGGCUCUGUUAUUGCUUCAGUUUCUGAGAAACACCCCACAUCCUUUGCAGGCAUAGUAGGCAAAUUGUAUUUUCAAAUACACUGAUACGGUAUUUGCAUGUUGCCCUCCCCUCCCCUCCAUGUUGGUUUGGCCCACCUGUCUGGAGUUGAGAGCUGUCAGCGGUAUUUAAAUUCUGGGAAGACGCAUCACUUGGGAAGACGCAUCACUUGUUAACCUGAGCAGAGCUAAGGAGGACUGUUUCAUGGAUGUGUGUGUGUUCCUCAGAGGUGAAUUUCUCUCCAUGCCUUUCAACACCUUCUGUCCACAGAGAAGCCAACCAACAAGUCAAUUCGUGUCCUCUUUUAAGCCUGUGCAGAUUAGCCCCCAUGAUCCACGUUCACAGAAGGCACAGAAGGGACACCACUCACACAGAAGGCACAGGAUCGUCUCUCUCCCCUGGAGCAGAGUAGCGCAGGACUCUGCUCGAGGACCUCACUCUUGCAAAUGUCCCCACUUAAUCCUCCAUCAUCAGUCUUUCCUUCUCCGCUGCAUCAUCUUGUUAGAUACAAACAUGCUGUUACCCUCCCCUGGUUUAAAUAAAAUAAACCCUUGGUUUUAAUGGGAAAAUGUAAAUAUAUGCUGGGUAUUUGAUGAUCCUUAGGAAUUCCUACGAAUAUAGUCACGGGAGACCCUUGCCCUCAAGCACGAACCGGAGACCACACAAAUGCAAUAAACACAGAAGGCUCUGUGUUCUUCCUAAUUACAAAAAGUUCUGGCUUCUUCCAAAAGCCCCAGAUCAAGCCUGCUCAGGGAGGAAGGUUAGAAAAAAAAAUGGGGCGCCUGGAUGGCUUAGCCGGUUAAG